rnacentral:rRNA from 1 species
GACAGAGGCCUCGAGCGUUAGGCGGAAUCACUGGGCUUAAAGCGUGUGUAGGCGGACGCCUAAGUACCUUGUGAAAUCCCACGGCUCACCCGUGGAACCGCUGGGUAUACUGGGUGUCUUGGGCCAUUCAGGGGCAACUGGAACAAGCGGUGGAGCGGUGAAAUGCGUAGAUAUCGAGAGGAACACCUGCGGCGAAGGCGGGUUGCUGGGCUGACACUGACGCUGAUGCGCGAAAGCCAGGGGAGCGAACGGG